rnacentral:rRNA from 1 species
CUCGUAGGCGGCCAACUAAGUCCGACGUGAAAUCCCCAGGCUUAACCUGGGAACUGCGUCGGAUACUGGAUGGCUUGAAUCCGGGAGAGGGAUGCGGAAUUCCAGGUAUAGCGGUGAAAUGCGUAGAUAUCUGGAGGAACACCGGUGGCGAAGGCGGCAUCCUGGACCGGCAUUGACGCUGAUGAGCGAAAGCCAGGGGAGCAAACG